AUACGGAGGGUGCAAGCGUUGUUCGGAAUUACUGGGCGUAAAGCGCGCGUAGGUGGUCUGUUAUGUCAGAUGUGAAAGUCCACGGCUCAACCGUGGAAGUGCAUUUGAAACUGGCAGACUUGAGUACUCGAGGGGGUAGUGGAAUUCCCGGUGUAGAGGUGAAAGUCGUAGAUAUCGGGAGGAAUACCGGUGGCGAAGGCGACUACCUGGCCAGAUACUGACACUGAGGUGCGAAAGCGUGGGGAGCAAACAGGAUUAGAAACCCCGGUAGUCC
rnacentral:rRNA from 1 species